UUGGUUCAGGUAUCUUGAUUUUCAAAGAUUUUUGCCAUUAUGAUAUCACCAUCCAAAUAAAAUGAAACCAGAUAAGAGUAUAAGACUAGGAUACAAUAGAAAUUUUAAGUUACAUUUAUUCCUAUGAUAAAAGAUCAUAAUAAAGAGAAAAAUGAAGAUAAUUCGGAUGGAUUCGUUGUCGAAAAAAUCCUUAUAUAGUACAAUACCAUAUAUUAAUUAUGUUAUAAGAUGAUAACUACCUACUCU
rnacentral:lncRNA from 1 species